rnacentral:tRNA from 1 species
GUUUUUAUAGUUGAAGUACAACAUUGGCUUUUCAAGCCGGUGGUUUUGGUUAGAGUCCGGAUAAAAAUU